CAUGACUUACAGAGGAAGAAUUCUGUUCCACUUCCCCAUGAGGUAAGAGGAAAUAAACAAGAACAAGAACUAGAAAGAAAAUAGAAGAAAACUCUGAGGGGAGCCGGCACACCUCCUUACAUGGCAGGAGGGGGCGGACAUUCCCCUAGCGCCCCUGUACCACCUCACCCCAUGGCUGCUCCAUUUCCAUAUUCAGAGCCUCUACCGCCCUACCAGACACCCAUGACAGCAGCAGCAGCGGCGGCGGCGGCGGCGGCAGCAGCUGCAGCUGCAGCAGCAGCAAGUGGCGGAGUUAGCGUGUUGACAGGUGGUCCAGCCAGUGACCUCAGCUCUAAUGGAUCCAACCCAAGUUACCCCGAGUUUCCACCGUCCCCAGACUCCUGGCUCGGGGACAUGCAGCAGGACCAUCACCCACAAUACUAACUCACACAUACACCCAUCCAUGUUUCAUAAAAACUUCCUGAAUGUCAUAGCUGCUUACCCUGGAACUUGCACUCGUGCUCAUUUCUAACUACCCCCAAGCUAAGAAUUUUACGACCAUAAAAAAAGUAGCUCUUCUCUUCAUGUUUAUUUUUAUUCCUAAAUGAAAAGAUUCUAGAAUACUGUACCUCAUACCUGCAGCUAGGUCAGGUGAUUUCACCAUUUUUUUUAUGUCACUUGGAAAUAGACAAUGGCUCACAGGCUGGAACACAAUGAAUGCAAAAUGGUUACUUUUCUUAUGACAUUACUUUUUUUUUUUUUCAGGGGAUAAAAUUAUCAUAAAAAAAUUUAACCUGUUACUUUCUUUCUCAAAUGUAUCUUUUUCUAAAGAGCAAUGCAAUGUGCUGAUAAAAAAUGAUGCUUCUAUAUUACACAAAUAUUAGUCUAAUAUUUCAGACAGAACUUAAAUAUAUUCAGUGAUAUACAAAGUGCAGCAACAAUAUAUUGUAUAAUUUGUUCUUAAUAUACUGACAAUGUGAUAUACAGUAUAGCCACAGGGAAUGAUGACUAAAUUAUUGCAUAAAAACAUUCAUAAUGCUGUAAUAAACAAGAUAGCAUUUACUCAUCUCUGUGUACUGAAGAAAGGUUUGCUCUUUCUUAUCCCAUGUCAUGAUCACUUACAAGUAACAACUGCAUACUGCUGGUAGACCUUUUUUUGUUUCCACUCACAGUGGAUCUUCUUCAGAUAUUUGUUAUAGUUAUAUCAUAAUAUUUUGUAAACUUUGCCCCAAAUUAUUAUUAUUAUUAUAAUCAAAAAGAAGUGCUAAACCACAAGGGCUAUACAGCACUUUGCUCCAAAGAAAAUAGACCAAAGUAUCUAUAUCCUAGUCAUGUUUGUAAAGCAUUUUUCUAAUAACAUGGACACCAAUAGGUAUCACAAAUUAAUUUCAAGUUUUGAAAAUGAAUACAUGUAUAUGUAAGAGUACUGAAUGAAAAAAAGAUGGUAGUCAAAACUUUCACCUAGUCAUGCACUUGUACAAAACUAAAGUUUAUUGGUCAAAAUUAUCUCUGAUAAUGUUUAGUUUAGAAAUGAAAUAAUCUUCAGGGAUGGACUUUUGUUUAGGUAAAUGGCUAACAAAAGUCAGCAACUUAAACUCUCCUGAUUUAGCUAAAAAAAAAAUUUACUUGAUGCUUAAUUUAUAAAAGGGAUUACCAAAUAGUUAAGCAUUCAAGCUGUGACCUCUUUCAUAGUUAGUUACUUAAUGGAUAAAAGGUUAUACAUCAGUCGUAUGAAGUUUAUUAUGUUCUAAGGAUUACACGAUGAUAAUUAUGAUAAAGAAUGAUUAAACACUUAAUCAAAACACCUUUAUUUAUAUAGGAACACGUCGUCAUCUCACCUCGCAAUUUGCUCACUAAAUCUGUGAGUAAACUGCAUCAAUGCAUUAUGAGUGAUACAAAAAGUUUCCAGGGUUUGUUGCUAACCUUCACCUAAGAGUUCAAGUGGGUGAGAAGGCUGUUUAUAAGAAGAAACAGCCUUAAUGUGGGAUAGUUGGUCGUCAGGUUAAACAAUGUCCUGUCCUACGGUCCUGGCUGGAUAAACUGGUUUACUGAAUAUCAUGAAAACUAGUGCUACUGUCAACUGUCAGGUGAUAAAAACUUGGUACAUGCCAAAGAUGCAAAUCUGAGUGUGCAAGUGCAAUGUGAACUAUAAUUUCAAUAGAACACAAGUAGUGGAGUUUCCAAGGAUUGAGAAGGGACAUGGUCACUACUAGAAUUAAGUCUUGUGCCAGAAGCCAGAUGUCUUCAGUGAAACGUCUCUCUCCCUAAUCAAUGACCAGACCUGAUGAUGUACAUAUACUUGAAAUGUGAUGGUCAAUACAUAAAUGAAACUUUAAAAGUCGCAAAGGAAAAUGGCAGGUGUUAUGAUGAAAGGAUAUUUUUUUGUAGCUAAUCUGUGUUUGUCCUUUCAUGGAAGAAUUUUUAAUGUAUAUAUCUAAAGUGUAUGAAAUGGAUUAUCUCUAAGGGAAAGUAGAAUACUUUUUUGCCACUAUUGUGAAUUAGAAAAAAUUUGUGUAUACAGAGACAGUCUGCAAUAUGUGUGGUAUGAGUGUAUCUGAUUAAAUAAGAUUUCCUGUACUACUACCUGUAUGAUUUUGCAAUAUACCAAAGAUGAACAAUGUAUGAUAUUUAAGUCUUUACUUUUUCAAGUUAGGGUGAGUAUGUUGGGAAUUCUGACUUGCUUUACUGUAUAACUACCCGAGUGAAAAAAUUCUUUGAUACGGUUCUAAUUAAUCCUUUACGUAUCUUGUAUAGAGAAAAAUAGGUGAACUUAUUUCUAAUUAUGAUGCAGGUUAUUAUUUUUUUAGUGAAUAUGGCUAAUGAAUAAUGACUGUGUUGACAGUGUACCUGACUAGAAGAGAAGCUACAAAUUGAUCUAUGUCAUCGUAGUCUCAAAGCAUAAAUAUGAAGCACCUAUAUUUAGAUAUCCAGCAGUAUAAAACUGAAGGGGAUUCAGAUAAAGAAUAUAGAUUCAGAUGUGGAUUCAGGAUUCAGAUUCAUGAAACUGGUCCUUUCAAUAGCGCUCAGUGUAUAUUGUAGCCUCUUACUCCUAUGGCUUGUUUUAUACAAUACACUACUUUAGUACAAUUUCCCUAUUAUUAGCAUAUUCUUCAACAUUAGUUUUGUACAUAAAAUUAUUGAGUAUGUAUGACUGAAUGGCAAUACUCAUGGCUGUUUGUUAUUAAUAGUUAAUAAUACAGUACUAUUAAUGUGAAACAGACACUUCAGGAUGGCUUCAUCUAUCAGUGUAACAUCUUAUUUCAGUGUCAUUUAUACAUAAGACUUAAUUUCUAAUAUCACUGGGAACUGUGUAUCUGCUAUGUAGACAUGUAUGUGUCCAAUGUAUGUUACGAAGACUUGAUGUUCUCAUAUUCAAUUGUUUAUCUUCGGCCAGGUUGACAUGAGCUAGAUGGGUUGUCUUGUUCUGGAUAAUUUAUCAAGAAGUGCUGUAUCUAGAUUCAUUUAAACAGGCAGGAAGGCUAAUAUUUCCCUUGUUAUAAAUGUAUCUGUAUAAUCAACAAGGACAGUUAUUUUUUAGGUACAGUAGUUUGUUUUUUCCUAAACACAUUUGACAAAUAUUUGCUCAUUUAUACAAAUGAAAGGAAAGAAAUAUGCUCCUUUUAUUGGAAAGGGAUUU